GAACCCCGGACCCUGUCCGGCUUCUUAAGUCCAACCCAGAGCGACUCUGGCUGGGUACGCGAGAUUCAGUCCAGGCAAAAAAAAAAAAAAAAAAAAAAAAGUCGAAUAAAAUCUGGAAGCUCAUAACGCAAAGACUGCAAAGCUGGGAUCUCACAGAGACUUGCCCGCCACCGCCAGAGACAGCUGGACGGCAGCGAACGAACCCAAGGGCCUCGGCAGUGAUCUAACCUAGACUCUGCCAAUCAAAAUACAUCUGUGCCACAAUUUGAAUGAAGAUCUGUAAAGGAAGAUAUAUGUCCAAGCCUACAGAAUUCAUGUCCUUGAACAGAACUGGCUCAAUGAAAUUAUCACCAGAGUGUGGGGAAAGCAGCAAUAACUACAGAUACAAGGGCAUCCUGUAA
rnacentral:lncRNA from 1 species